rnacentral:lncRNA from 13 species
UAGAACACCACUAACACCAGAUUUAUUUUGCUUUCAAAUAUAAAAUUGUGUUAUAAUAUUGUCCCAAUGCCUUUUAAAUCUAAACAGACUCCCGUCACCUUAUGCUUGUCACCAACCCUUCUCCUCCAAAUCUGAUAUACCAGACUCCUCUGAGAACCUGUGCUUUAAUGAGAAAACUCAUGCAAGCUGCAACAAAUGCUGCCACCUCCUGGCAUCUUUUGAAAAGCUCCCAGUGGUUUGACAACUGCUUGUGGAUGAAGUUCCUCAGUGUCUGACCAUCAGCUCUCUGAGUGUGCUCUGGCAAAGUUGGAAAGACUGACAUGUCAACAUUGGCUUCCUCCAGGCUUGACAAUGCCUGGGUUUCUCUGGGUGUAUGUGCAGCUGUGUCUGUGUGUACAGACAGUACUGAAGACUGAGAAGAUGAUUUGCAGAUGUAUUCCAGACACGCACAAGAUUGGAAUGCAUCAAUCAUGACUCUGCAUUUCUGUAACGUUUGUCUUUAUUUGUAAAUGUUCAUGCUAUAUUUUCCUCUUCCAUGAACCUUUCUGAAGUAAAGUUUUAUCUUUAAAAUCGUUUUUGUUAAUUGGGGAAAUUAUUAAAAUCUGAAAAAGCAUUAGUGCUAUGAUUCUGUAAUGUGAAUUUGAGGUUAGAACAUUUUAAAUUAAUGAAUCUGGUAAAAAUGGAGUAUUUUACCUCCUCUGUAAUUAACAAAAUUUUGUUGCAGGAUUAGGAGGGUAUCUGGUCAGAUAGAGAAAAGGC